rnacentral:rRNA from 1 species
CCUACGGGAGGCAGCAGUGAGGAAUAUUGGUCAAUGGGCGCGAGCCUGAACCAGCCAAGUAGCGUGAAGGAUGACUGCCCUACGGGUUGUAAACUUCUUUUAUAAAGGAAUAAAGUGAGGCACGUGUGCCUUUUUGUAUGUACUUUAUGAAUAAGGAUCGGCUAACUCCGUGCCAGCAGCCGCGGUAAUACGGAGGAUCCGAGCGUUAUCCGGAUUUAUUGGGUUUAAAGGGAGCGUAGAUGGGUUGUUAAGUCAGUUGUGAAAGUGUGCGGCUCAACCGUAAAAUUGCAAUUGAUACUGGUAGUGUGGAGUACAGUUGAGGGAGGAGUAAGUGGUGGUGUAGUGGUGAAAUGAGUAGACAUGAAGAAGAACGACGAUGGAGAAGGCAGAUUAGUAAACUGC